rnacentral:lncRNA from 1 species
CACUUCCAGGGCUGUCACCGAGUGAUCCAUCUCUGCUUGCUGCCGAUCUCGAAAAGGUGGCAGCAAAUUGCCUGAUUCUCUGUUAUAUGAACAAAGAAAACUCAGGAGAAUCACUUGAUGAACACAGUCCCAAUAAAGCGACACCAGAAGCUGCAGACACUCCACUGGUCCCAGACAUUGAAGACUUCCACAGUGAGGCCAGUCAAAGACUCCUACAAGAGAGAUUUGAUACUAUACAGGCCCUCUCGGUGGACAGCAGAGAUGUUGUGCUUGAGUCAACGAUUAGACAGGCC